AGGAGCUGUAUGAGGUGAAAAUCUCAUGUACGGUUUUGAUGUAACUAUAACAAACCAUUUAUUAUUGAUCGAAC
rnacentral:ncRNA from 1 species